rnacentral:rRNA from 1 species
GAUGAACGCUGGCGGCAUGCCUAAUACAUGCAAGUCGUGCGGGGGUCUUCGGACCCUAGCGGCGAACGGGUGAGUAACACGUGGGCAACCUGCCCGUAAGACUGGGAUAACUCCGGGAAACCGGUGCUAAUACCAGAUAAUCUCUUUCUCCGCAUGGAGAAAGAGUAAAAGGCUUCGGCCACUUACGGAUGGGCCUGCGGCGCAUUAGCUAGUUGGUGAGGUAACGGCUCACCAAGGCGACGAUGCGUAGCCGACCUGAGAGGGUGAUUGGCCACACUGGGACUGAGACACGGCCCAGACUCCUACGGGAGGCAG